rnacentral:rRNA from 1 species
GRGGUGUAUKUAUUAGAUUAAAAAACCAAUGCCCUUCGGGGGCUCUCUGGGUGAUUCAUAAUAAUUUCUCGAAUCGCACGGCCUUGCGACGGCGAUGGUUCAUUCAAAUUUCUGCCCUAUCAACUUUCGACGGCUGGGUCUUGGCCAGCCAUGGUGACAACGGGUAACGGAGGGUUAGGGCUCGACCCCGGAGAAGGAGCCUGAGAAACGGCUACUACAUCCAAGGAAGGCAGCAGGCGCGCAAAUUACCCAAUCCCGACUCGGGGAGGUAGUGACAAUAAAUACUGAUACAGGGCUCUUUUGGGUCUUGUAAUUGGAAUGAGUACAAUUUAAAUCCCUUAACGAGGAACAAUUGGAGGGCAAGUCUGGUGCCAGCAGCCGCGGUAAUUCCAGCUCCAAUAGCGUAUAUUAAAGUUGUUGAGGUUAAAAAGCUCGUAGUUGAACCUUGGGCCUAGCCGGCCGGUCCGCCUCACCGCGUGCACUGGCUCGGCUGGGCCUUUCCUUCUGGAGAACCGCAUGUCCUUCACUGGGUGUGUCGGGGAACCAGGACUUUUAC